rnacentral:ncRNA from 1 species
UUAUGUCUGAGAGAGAUAUUUGGUCUCAUGACAAGAUGACAAGGAAAUCAAAUUUUUCAAAGUACGAAUAUCUAAAGCACUAAUUGCUUAAUUCUGGUACUAAUAAUAGUAAUCAUAAAAUUAAUGUUAAAUAAUAAGAAUUGAUCAGUUAUUAUUCUGAUUUGGAAAUGCUUUUCUAUGUAUAACAACAAUAACAAUAAAAGUUCGAAGCAAUUCUGACGUGCAAAUCGAUCGUCUGAUUUUGAUAUAAGGACGAAAGACUAAUCGGACAAUCCACUAGUUCCUUCCCUCAGAAAUUUCGCUCAGAAUAGUUGGAGUACGUAAUGAAGCUGUUAUAUUCGGUAAAGCGAAUGAUUGGAGGAAU